rnacentral:rRNA from 1 species
UACGGGGGGGGGCAAGCGUUGUUCGGAAUUACUGGGCGUAAAGGGUUCGUAGGUGGCUUGUUAAGUCAGACGUGAAAUCCCUCGGCUCAACCGGGGAACUGCGUCUGAGACUGGCCAGAGCUUGAGGUGCGAGGAGAGGAACGCAGAAUUCCAGGUGUAGCGGUGAAAUGCGUAGAUAUCUGGAGGAAUACCGGUGGCGAAGGCGGCGUUCUGGACUGCAACUGACACUGAGGAACGAAAGCCAGGGGAGCAAACGGG